ACACAAGUUUUCUUAUCGAUGCUCAAGCAAGGAGGCAAAUGAUAUCUAUUGCCAAGCUAUUGGUGGAUUGGACACGAGGGAAGAAUAUUAGAAAG